GAUGAACGCUGGCGGCGUGCCUAAUACAUGCAAGUCGAGCGAACAGAUAAGGAGCUUGCUCCUUUGACGUUAGCGGCGGACGGGUGAGUAACACGUGGAUAACCUACCUAUAAGACUGGGAUAACUUCGGGCAACCGGAGCUAAUACCGGAUAACAUAUUGAACCGCAUGGUUCAAUAGUGAAAGGCGGCUUUGCUGUCCCUUAUAGAUGGAUCCGCGCCGUAUUAGCUAGUUGGUAAGGUAACGGCUUACCAAGGCAACGAUACGUAGCCGACCUGAGAGGGUGAUCGGCCACACGGGAACUGAGACGCGCGCCAGACGCCUACGGGAGGCAGCAGUAGGGAAUCUUCCGCAACGGGCGGAAGCCUGACGGAGCACCGCCGCGUGAGGGAUGAAGGUCUUCGGAGCGUAAAACUCUGUUAUCAGGGAAGAACAAAUGUGUAAGUAACUGUGCACAUCUUGACGGUACCUGAGCAGAAAGCCACGGCUAACUACGUG
rnacentral:rRNA from 1 species